ensembl:lncRNA
GCUCAGUAUCUGCGUCAGUGUCAUCACUGGUUCCAGCUCCUCUUGGCCUUGUUGUCACUGGUGACAGCUGUGCUACAGCUCCACUUCCUGUCUCUUGCAUCUUUAUGUGUUUCCAAGGUAAGUUCCAAGCUAAGUUUGACAACUACACAACAGCUCAAUAGUGUUUCAUUCUGACUAACUGUGCAUCAUUUAGCUGCGGUCCCAACCAGACAGCUUUAUAGACUUCCAUGAUGCUGCCCUGCUGACACAGAAGUCUUCUCAGUGCGCCGCCGUCCUGCUCACUUUCCUCGUCCUCAAGCUGCUUGGAACCUUAAGGUUUGUGAGGAGGUGGGUGGUGAUAGGUAAAAUCCUGCAGAGAGCCUGGAGGGAGCUGACAGCUCUGGCUCUUCUUCUACUGCUGCUGCUGCUCAUCUGUGCUCACCUUGGAAAUAUGCUGUUUUUCAGGUCAGUGGAAGGUUUCCUGUCAGUGCAUCAGAGCAGCGUGUCAGUUCUGUCUGUCAUGCGUGGCCGGAUGGUGCUGAGAAGACUCUGCAGGGUGCACCCAGUCCUUGGCCCUCUCUAUGGGCUGCUGGUGAUGGGUGGGGGUGUUUGGCUGUUGGCUAGACUCUGUGGAGCUGCUCUCAUCCGCACAUACAGGUACAAACUUUUCCUAUACUUUAGCAGUAUGGCCACAUUUGGUGAAACCAUAUUU